AAUCCAGACUCCUACGGGAGGCAGCAGUGGGGAAUAUUGCACAAUGGGGGAAACCCUGAUGCAGCAACGCCGCGUGAGUGAAGAAGUCAUUCGUGAUGUAAAGCUCUAUCAGCAGGGAAGAAAAUGACGGUACCUGAGUAAGAAGCCCCGGCUAACUACGUGCCAGCAGCCGCGGUAAUACGUAGGGGGCAAGCGUUAUCCGGAUUUACUGGGUGUAAAGGGAGCGUAGACGGCGACGCAAGUCUGGAGUGAAAGCCCGGGGCCCAACCCCGGGACUGCUCUGGAAACUGCGUCGCUGGAGUACGGGAGGGGCAGGCGGAAUUCCUGGUGUAGCGGUGAAAUGCGUAGAUAUUAGGAGGAACACCAGUGGCGAAGGCGGCUUGCUGGACAGUAACUGACGUUGAGGCUCGAAAGCGUGGGGAGCAAACAGGAUUAGAUACCCCAGUA
rnacentral:rRNA from 1 species